rnacentral:rRNA from 1 species
AUGCCUUCGGUGCAUGCUUGGUGGAAUGUCGUGGUGCUCACCAAGGGUCACAGGAGGAAAGUUAUUGCCACUACACUCAUGCUUGUGGCGUGGGCACUAUAGAACGAAAGGAACGUGCAGGUUUUUCGCAACAAGUCUACACUACCUUUCAUCAUCUUCACACAUGUUAGGGCCGAAGCUGGGUUGUGGGUGACCGCCGGCGCGAAGCACCUGGGUUCUAUUAUGCCGCGAGAGUAG